GAUGAACGCUGGCGGUAUGCUUAACACAUGCAAGUCGAACGGUACCUUCGGGUAUAGUGGCGGACGGGUGAGUAACGCGUGAGAAUCUGUCUUCAGGUCGGGGACAACAGUUAGAAAUGACUGCUAAUACCGGAUGUGCCGAAAGGUAAAAGAUUUAUUGCCUGAAGUUGAGCUCGCGACAGAUUAGCUAGUAGGUGGUGUAAGAGACUACCUAGGCGACGAUCUGUAGCUGGCCUGAGAGGACGAUCAGCCACACCGGAACUGAGACACGGUCCAGACUCCUACGGGAGGCAGCAGUGGGGAAUUUUCCGCAAUGGGCGAAAGCCUGACGGAGCAAUACCCGCGUGAGGGACGAAGGCUUUUUGGGGUCGUAAACCUCUUUUAUUAGGGAAGAUUUCAGGACGGUACCUAAUGAAUAAGCAUCGGCUGACUCUGUGCCAGCAGGCGGUAAU
rnacentral:rRNA from 1 species